rnacentral:lncRNA from 1 species
UAAUCCGCGGGAUUAUAGUGAAUUCCCAAGGGGAUGCUUGGGGAGUGGACGUAGGUGCUAAGGAGAGCACCGAACCACUAUAUAUUGUUGUGUUUGUGUUGUGCUUGUGCUUACGUUUAUUCUUGCAUCAUCUUCUAUCUUUGCACUAGUUUAAAUCAUUCAAAUAGUUUAAGGAAGCAUCCACCGCACUUAAUUAAGAAAACAUUUAAAGCACCAAAAUUUAGAAGAAACCAAUUCACCCCCCCCUCUUGGCUUGUCACCUUGGGCAACACC